GUCCACGCCCUAAACGAUGUCUACUAGUUGUUGGGGUAGCAAUACCUUAGUAACGCAGCUAACGCGUGAAGUAGACCGCCUGGGGAGUACGGUCGCAAGAUUAAAACUCAAAGGAAUUGACGGGGCCCGCACAAGCGGUGGAUGAUGUGGAUUAAUUCGAUGCAACGCGAAAAACCUUACCUACCCUUGACAUGUCAAGAAUAUCGCAGAGACGUGAUAGUGCCCGAAAGGGAACUUGAACACAGGUGCUGCAUGGCUGUCGU
rnacentral:rRNA from 1 species